UCCAGCAGGUCUUUUGAGCUGGUCAGGAGU
rnacentral:piRNA from 1 species